rnacentral:sRNA from 1 species
AUAACUUAUUUUUAUUAUAAAUUACUGUUCAAAUCAAAGGCUAUCAUUCGGGGGCGCAUAGCUGAUGGAAAUGGGGUCUUCGGUGAGGGCACAGGCUAGUGAAACGCAUCCUCGCUUGAUCCUUGAUGAUGGCCAUCGCGCAGCCCUACCACUUCACGGAUCACAAGUUUUGUGGAGCUGCACAAUGGCCUACAAGUGGCCCAUGGGCCAAACCAUCUUCAAGAUAUUCUAGAAAAUUUUAACGCCUCAGCCGCGAAUCAGAUUGGGGAGCAAGGCCUAUUGGGGCGCCUCCGAAUGUGGCACACGGAGAUGCUUCGUUUAAAAUUUUGAAUAAAUAAAAUAUGUAUAUCUA